rnacentral:rRNA from 1 species
CAUUAACUACAUAAAAGAACGUUUGUAAAACGAAAUAUUAUAAACCAAAACUAUAGUUUAUAAUUUCUCUAAUCAAAAAGGAGUUUUAAUGGAUAUAAACAAAUUUUAACUGAAAAGUUAACCUAAAAAAAGGGUUAAAUAAAAAAGCAAUUAAAAUUUUUCUAAGACUAGUGAAUUGAAACAUCUUAGUAACUAGGCAAAAAAUCAACCGAGAGACCGUGAGUAGUGGCGAGCAAAACCGGUAUAGACUAUUCUUAAAAAAUAUAUAUGAUAUUCUUAAAAUCUAGUAACCAAAGAAGGUAACAUAAAUUACAAAAGAGAUGCAGUCCUGUAAAGUAUAUUAUAGUCUUUUAAGAUACAAAGUAAAACGACACACGUCAUGUGUUGUUUUAAUAUUGGGGCACCACCCUCAAAGUCUAAAAAGUGUUAAUGAUUGAUAGUGAAUAAGUACCGUAAGGGGAAGGUGAAAAAAUAUUUGAAAUUUAAUGUAUACAAUCUGUUGUAGCUUAAGAUAAAAGCCACAGCGUUCCUUUUGCAUAAUGAAUCAAUGAGUUUAUAUCAAUGGCAAGCUUAAGCAGUUAAAAGUGUAGGCUAAAAAAAAUUAAGUUAUAAAUUGCUUUUAAUAGAUUCAAUCUUAUUAACCAAUAUAAGUCUUUGAUAUAAGACCCGAAACUAAGUGAUCUAACCAUGAACAGGCUGAAUUUAAAGCGGCAACGCUUAUUGGAGGGCCGAACUCGUGUCUGUGGAAAAAUACUGAGAUGAUUUGUGGUUAGGGGUGAAAGGCCAAACAAACUUAGAUAUAGCUGGUUUUCUGCGAAAUCUAUUUAAGUAGAGCGUUUAGAAUUCUUUAUUUUAAGGUAGAGCACUCAAUAAAUAAGGGGGGCGUAAAGUCUUACUGCAUUUAAUGAAACUCCAAAAAUAAAAUAGAAUUAACUAACCUAACGAAUUUGAUAUUAGCUUUUUUAGAUUAACAGUUUAUGCCACAUAAGGUGUAAAUAUCAGACCAGAAAAACUUUCAGGCCUGGUAACAUAAUUGGUUGUUAAUAUUAUUAAAAUAGUUGGGCCUAUUGAUGGUCUUUUAACCGCCCCUUUGCGCGAGGGCGAUAAAAGGUUUAUACAGUUAAUUAUAAAAAGAUUUUAAACAGACAGACUAUGAGUGCUAAGAUUCAUAGUCAAAAGGGAAACAGCCCUGAUUAUUUGUUAAGGCCCUUAAAAGUAAUUAAGUGAAAAAGAAAGUAAAAAAAUGUUAACAGCGAACAAGUAGGCUUGGAAGCAGCCAACGUUUCAAGAAAGCGUAACAAAUCAUUCGUUUAGCUUUUUAGCAUCGAAAAUGUAUAGGGACUAAAAUUACUUGCCGAAACAAUAGAUUUAUGCUGAUUAAAAAAAAAAAAUAAAAAUUUUUUUUUAUAUUAGUUUAUAUGGUAGCAGAACGUUUUGUAGAUUAAAGAAAAUUUAUAGUUAUAUAAAUUAGAAAAAUCAAAAAUGAAAAUAUUGAUAUGAGUAGCGAAAAACGUUUCAGUGAUAAAUAAACUACGUCACCUUAAGUUCAAGGUUUAUAAGGCUAUAGCUAAACUUCCUUAACAUUAAUCGGUCCCUAAGGCAAUAACGAAAGUUACAGUUGAUGGGUGAUAUUUUAUCAUAUUUUAUAGUGACAAAAUAUAAAUUUAGUUUUAUCCCAAGAUAUUCACAUGCAUUAUUUUUGAUGUUAUGAGGAAAAAAAAUUUGAAACUUCAAGCAAAACAUAUUUGGGUAAACACCUUUUUUAUAUUUUCAAGAAACAGCUUAAAAUAAUACCGUACUGUAAACCGACACAGGUGAACAAAUUUAGUAAAUUAAGGUGCUUGAGUUAAUUGUAUUGAAGGAACUCGGCAAAAUUGCUCCGUAACUUCGGAAUAAGGAGUGGCUUUUUUAAAAAGUUGUCACAAAAUCGAGGACAGCGACUGUUUAAUAAAAACACAGGUCUCUGCAAAUUUGAAAAAAGAAGUAUAGAGACUGACGCCUGCCCGGUGCUGCAAGAUUAAUAGAAAAAGUUUUGGCUUUGACUUUAACCCCCAGUAAACGGCGGCUGUAACUCUGACGGUCCAAAGGUAGCGAAAUUCCUUGGCAUUUAAUUGGUGUCCUGCAUGAAUGGCGUAACGACUGUCCUACUGUCUCCAAUGCAAUCUCAGUGAAAUUGAAGUGUCUGUGAAGAUGCAGACUACUUGCGGCUAGACGGAAAGACCCUGUGCACCUUUACUAUAGUUAUAAAUUGUAAUAAAAUUUUUUUUUGUGUAGUAUACGUGGUAAGUUUUUAUUAGACCGUAACACAAGUUAUUUGUUUAAACAUAUUUGAAAUACCACUCUUAAAAACUUUUGUUACUCAUAAUUUUAAACAGUUUAUAAUGGGUAGUUUGACUGGGGCGGUCGCCUCCUAAAAGGUAACGGAGGCGUACGAAGGUGAGCUCAAAUUGUAAAAAAUCAAUUCAAGAGCGUAAUAGUAUAUUGUUUACUUGACUGAAAGAUUGACAAAUCAAACAGAGAUGAAAGUCGGUUAUAGUGAUCCGGUGGCUCUGAGUGGAAAAGGCCAUCGCUCAACGGAUAAAAGGUACGCCAGGGAUAACAGGCUAAUCAUUCUUUAGAGACCCUAUCGAUGGAGUGGUUUGGCACCUCGAUGUUGGAUUAUCGCAUCCUGGAGCUGUAAGUGGUUCCAAGGGUUUGGCUGUUCGCCAAGGAAGGCGGUACAUGAUCUGAGUUUAGAACGUUGUAAAACAGUUUGGUCCCUAUCUACCGUGAGUGUUAAAAAUUAAAAGGAGUAGACCUUAGUACGAGAGGACCGGGAAAAGUAAAUCUCUGGUGAAUCGAUUGUUUAUUAAAGCAUUGUCGAGUAGCUAUAUUUAUGAUAGAUAAUUGUUGAAAGCAUUUAAACAAGAAACUAACCUUGAAAAAUUUUUUUUAAAAUUCGUAAAAGACUAUUACGGAAUAGGUUUAAUGUGUACGAAUUGUAAGAUUUUUAGCAAAUAAACACUAAUUUUAUAUUGUCAUAGAUUUAUAUUU